GUAUAAGUUUAAUAAAAAUAAAAUAUAAGUUUCCAAAGAAAUUUAAAAUAUUAUAAAAUCCAAAUGUUUAUACAAGUCAGGACCAGCCAGUAGCAGUAAGUGGAUAUAGUCAUACAAUGAUUUCUACACAAUAAAAUGUUUAUGUUACAAAGCUAGGUUUAGUAUGACUGGAGUUAUUGUAAAUACCUUUCUAGAUCUUUCUAGAAAGAAGAAAAAACAAAUCUGAAACCAUUGCAUAUAUUUCUUUUUUUUAUCUUCAGUGCAUUUAGAACAGACCUAACUAUGGAAAGAUGUGUUGUGAUGCUAAGGAUCUAUUUUUCUUUUUGUAUGUACUCUGACAUAUUUUUUCUCAAUUCACUCUGUCAAGAUUAGAACCCCGAAACCUGAGGUUUGAACAUAUGACUAGAGAGCUUGAAAUGUAAAGAACAAAACAGGGACUGUGGUUAAAGACUAGUCAAUUUGUUCACUGGAAAAAGCAUCCCUGAUAGAAAAAGCUAAUGCAUUAUGUUUUAGCUAGUAAAUUUAAUAUGUUACUCUUAAGCAAUAUUAUUAUAUUUAUAUAAAAAUAUGAACAUUAACGUUCAGUACCUACAUAAAGCUGAGUCAACUCAUUAUAAUCCUUUUGUGCACCCUCUUUAGGGAACUGUGUGCUCGGGUGACUCUUCAAGAAAGCCUACCCAUAUGCCACCUUAAGAAGUAUGGUAGUAAUUUCAUUAAAAGGGAAUGGGAAACAUUUUCUACAAAUUCUUAUGGAAUACACAUCUCGAAAGAAAAUGUAUUUUCCUACUAACCAUACCAUUUAAAGAAAAUAUCCAGAUAUUCCCCAAGGAUAUCAUCCUUUACUCAAUAUAUAGCAUGCUGCUGCCACUGCCUAUUUAUAGUUACCAAUAUUCAAAAUAAAAAAAAUA